CUCCCCCACGGCCCAGAAGGACCUGCCUGAGCCCCAGUGGGUUCUGAGCCCAGGGUGGCAGCCCGCUGUCUCCUCCUCCUUGCCCUGCCGGCCUGUUCCUACAGAAUGCUCCAGACUUCUCCUGGUCCAUUUCCCUGGGCUCUGUGAGGCCUGGCCAGCAGAGGGCACGGUCCUCUAUAUUCUGGAGACCGGAGGCUGAAGAGAGCAGCUUUGGGGACCUUUGCGGCUCUAACUCAGCCUCUCCAAGCUGCAGGGAGCCACCGAGGAGCUGGGUGAGAGCUCGGGAGAUGAGGGUAUCCCGAGAUCCCGAGGGAAUUUCACAGAGCUGGCCCCUCCUCUGAUACGGGUCCUGCAGCAUGCCCCCCCCCCCCCAGGCUGGGCACACAGAUGCUCCUCUGUCAUCAGUCCUGGCCUGGCCCGGUUCUUCUGUCCCAGGAACAGACCAGAGUCCUAGGACAGCCCCCUGCCCCCGGCCCGCGGGAGGGCAGCGGGAGAACUCAGGGCCAGGCCUGCGGGACCGUUUGCCUUCGCGGGCAGGGUGACGGGCAGCAGGUCGGGCAGUUUCAUGUUUCUGUUGACGGAUGCUGCUGAGCACCUCAUGACGUGCCAGCCACGGUGGCGAGCACGGGGUGAGCCCAAACACCACGACGGCCCGUGCCACAUGAGCUGUGCUGUCAGCUGGGAAGACACGUUCGACGCGGACUUUCAUGACGUGUCCAAAUUACAAAUGCGGUGAGUACUUUGGAAGACAGGAGAGGGUGCUCUGCGGGGGGGGGGGGGGGGGGAGCUUGGGGUCCCGCCACUGCGAGGGCAGGGGCUGGCCCACGAGGCCUUCCUCCUCCUGAAGGUGGACACCAGGGCGUGACCUCCCUCCUUCCUUUGGCAGGCGCCCCCUUGCCGAGGCCUAAGUUGAACGCUUCCCGGUUCCACACACCUGCAGCCCUUUCAGCUCCAGGGAGGCUCCUUCCUGUCCAUCCUUACUGUUUCCAGCACCGCUUUCCGCUCACGUCCUGCGUGUCCCUCUGCUCUCUCUGUGUUGGGAGUGGACUCCGCAGAAAGGCAUUCCAUGUUGCGGGGCCUCGGAAUGUCUUGGAACUGAGCGGUCACUCAGGACGUGGUUUAUCUGUCCGGCUCCAGGGUUCCCAGCAGGGUCCCAAGGACAACAACGAUGAGCCAGGGAGAAGGCAAAAUGGGUUUAAAUAUGACAGUUUUUUUGGGGAAACGCCUGGGGGGGGGGGUGGCAGGAUGGAGCUGGUGCCGUAUCUCCACCUGAGACUCAGAAAGGCUGUGCCCUCCGAAGCCAGGAUGUGCCCGAAGUCGCCUGUUUGCACGGGCUUCCCGCGCUCACACUCAGGGGCUUUCUACCCAGAUAUAGACAUGAAUUUGGGAGAAAAUCAGGUAUGAAGUCAACAAGCAGAGUUUGCAGCAGGGCAGGACUCUAAGUAUGAUCAACUUCACCGAAUCUCCUGAUACAAAGAAUCGUGCUGUGUACAGACGAAAGCUUACUUUUCAUGACAUGAAGGAUCCUGUGAUUUGAGGAAGGUACUUUCUUUUUUUUUUUUUUUUUUUUUGUAUUUUUUUUUAUUGGAGUUCGAUUUGCCAGCAUGUAACACCCAGUGCUCAUCCCGUCAAGUGCCCGCCUCAGUGCCUGUCACCCAGUCACUCUGUUCCCCCGCCCUCCUCCCCUUCCACCACCCCUUGUUUGUUUCCCAGAGUUAAGAGUCUCUCAUGGUCUGUCCCCCUCUCUGAAAUAUCAGAGAAGAAGUUACUUUCAACUGCCUCCCAUUUUCCAGCAAUCCCAAGGGAAGCACGAGUGCUCCGAGGUCCCGCAGCUGGUGAGGGCAGGACCUGGUUAAAGCCCUGGGUUUCUUGCCUCCACAGUGUCUUCCUUUUCUGAUUCACAAUCCUAGUAUCAGCCCGGAUCAGAAUCAGCAUAAGUGAACAUACGCUCUGGCACGAAGAGAAAAAUCUCAUGAGCUGGCAUGAUGGGAAAAUGAGACAGUUACCGCUUUGCCAUUGUUUGCUGAUGGAUAAAAUAACACACCCCAUUCCUGGCUUUAUCCCCACCCUAUUAUAAGGAUUCCUGACAGCAUGGGAUGUCCAAACCGGCCUUCAAUUUCCCCUGCUUGCCCCCCUGACCCUUAUCUGGCCCUCAGUAUCCCAGACUUCCCCCCCGUAAGGGAAGUCCACUCCUGAGCUUGUGGAGUUACCCACACCCCACUGGUGGUGGAUAUGCCAUGGGAAUUGCAAAAAUGUCAUAUAGAUGUAAGAAGUGGGCAUGGUGGGGGUCAGCAAACUAUGGCCUAUGGAGCAAAUCCUGCCUGCUGCCUGUUUUCGUAAAUAAAGCUUUAUUGGAACACAGCCAUGCCCAUCUGCUUGCAUAUUGUAAAGUGCUUUUGAGCUACAAAGACAGAACUAAGCAGUUGUGACAGAGUCCGUGUGGCCUGCAAAGCUAAACAUAUUCAUUACCUGGUUCUUUAUAAGAAACAUUGAUGGCCUUGGCCAGUAUAGAGAUAGCUAAGUUAUUUGUCUCGGUGUUGUGCUAACACUUUAACAGAACCUUGUGGAGAUAAUGGCUGCAGAGGUGUGGCUGCUGUGCUGACAGUUGGAGGCCUCCUCGUGGGUUAAUGGAGGUCACGUUGCUUACUGGUCCUUUGGUGGCCCUCACAGACAUGUUCGAUGGCUUCUUGUACUUCCCAUACAUUGAGCUUGCCCCCUUCCUUUCUAGGGCCUGUAGCUCGGUCCUACCAUGAAGCUGUGGGGCACCAGGGGACCAACUCUGGCCUCAGUUCUGAGACAGUAGUGGCUGCUGGCAGGACUUGGUGAAUGGGUUUGGCUUGUCUGGAGCUAACAGGUGAUGGAGCAAAUUCCACCUAGAUUUUAUGCGUGUGUGAAUAAACUUGUGCCCAAGACCCUCUCCUUUUAAAAAAAAAAAAAAAACUUUUAAUUUGGAGAUCCUUGUACAUUGACAUACAGCUUGUAAGAAAUAGCACAGAGGGAUCCCAUGUUCCCUUUACUAAGUCUUCCCACUGGUAACAUCUCGUAGAACCAUAACACAAUAUCACAACUGGGAUACUGACAGUGAUGCAGUCAAGAUAGAGCAUUUCCAUCAUCCUUGAUCCAGGGACGCCUCCUGUCCUUUUACAACCAUAUCCACUUGCCUCCCACCCCCACUGCCACCAUGGCAACCAAAAGUUUUGUCUUUCCUUGCUGAAAUUUAAUCAUUUCAAAAUUAGUAUAUACACGGAACUAUACAGCAUGUGACCCUGGAGACUGGCUUUUGUCCUUCGGCAUUAUUCUCUGGAAUUGACAAGUGUGCCAAUAGUUCUUACCUUGUUAUUACUGAGUUGUAUUCAUGUAUUGAUGGACAGCAGUUUAUCUAACCAUGCACCAGUCGAAGAACAUUUGGGUUCUUACUCGUUUUGGACUAUUAUGAAUAAAUCUGCUAUCGACAUCUAUGUACAGGUUAUUGUGUGAACAUGGAAUUCAUACAGCAGUCUCAGAGGGGCUGGACUCAGACAGGUAGGAUUCAGGCGGAUGCCCUUUCCUGAUAGUCUCCAAACACAUGUGGCUUGUUAGGUCGAAAUGAAUAAUCACCCAUCCCUGAGGGAUGUUUACCUGGGUGCCGCCCUUCUGUCAGCCUCAGGUCUGUGUUAGAAUUCUGCCUUCUCCAUAACUCCUGGCCCAUCAACACUCCUGAUGCCAUCAUCAGGCUUGGUCCCACCAUUUCUCCUGGUCCCAACACUGUUCCUGACCCCACCAGCACUCCAGUCCUCUGAGCACUGGAACCAGGUCACAUUCUUACUCCCGGUUCCAUUGUCCCUCCUGAUCCUACCAUUAUUCCUACUCCCAUCAUCACUCCUGGUUCCUCUGCCACCCUUGGUCUCAUCAU
rnacentral:lncRNA from 1 species